GAUGAACGCUGGCGGCGUGCCUAAUACAUGCAAGUCGAGCGAACAGACGAGGAUCUUGCUCCUCUGACGUUAGCGGCGGACGGGUGAGUAACACGUGGAUAACCUACCUAUAAGACUGGGAUAACUUCGGGAAACCGGAGCUAAUACCGGAUAAUAUAUUGAACCGCAUGGUUCAAUAGUGAAAGACGGUUUUGCUGUCACUUAUAGAUGGAUCCGCGCCGCAUUAGCUAGUUGGUAAGGUAACGGCUUACCAAGGCAACGAUGCGUAGCCGACCUGAGAGGGUGAUCGGCCACACUGGAACUGAGACACGGUCCAGACACCUACGGGAGGCAGCAGUAGGGAAUCUUACGCGAUGGGCGAAAGCCUGACGGAGCAACGCCGCGUGAGUGAUGAAGGUCUUCGGAUCGGAAAACUCUGUUAUUAGGGAAGAACAAAUGUGUAAGUAACUAUGCACGUCUUGACGGUACCUAAUCAGAAAGCCGCGGCUAACUACGUG
rnacentral:rRNA from 1 species